UUGUUUGGGAUCGCAGCCCAAAGCAGGUGGUAAACUUCAUCUAAGACUGAAUAUGGCUACGAGUCCGAUAGCGAACAAGUACCGUGAGGGAAAGUUGCAAAGCACUUUGAAGAGAGAGUUAAAGAGGACGUGAAACCGGUGAGGUGGAAACGGACAGAGCUGGCGUAUCUGGCCUGCAUUCAGCCUUGGAAUUUCUGGCGUUGCGGUGUUGCUCUCCAGAUUGGGACAGCAUUGUAUCUGUUGGGGAUUCCGUGGUGCAUUUGCAGGUGGAGUGCGCUGAGGCGCCUGAGACAGCGGCAUGAGCUUGGGUCUGAGGCCAGCCUUGCAAAAGGUCUGGUACCCGUGCCGGGGGAGUGCUGUUUAUUUUGGGUGGGAUGGGCAAUGGACUCGGGCUCGCGUGGGUGCCGAGCUGGCAGUCGGUGGCGGUCGCGUGCGACACGUGCCAGCGGUCAGUUCGGUCCUGCUCGAGCUCUCACAGCCCGUCCUCGGUGUAAAAGGCAGUACAUCUGUCCGACCCGUCUUGAAACACGGACCAAGGAGUUUAGCGUGUGCGCGAGUCAUUGGGUGUUGAAAACUCAAAGGCGAAAUGAAAGUGAAGGUGUCCCUUGUGGAACUGAUGUGUGAUCCUGGUCACUUCGGUGCAUCCGGGCGCAACAUAGUCCCGUCCUGACCGCUUGCGGUGGGGCGGAGACAGAGCGUACGCGCUGAGACCCGAAAGAUGGUGAACUAUUCCUGAGCAGGAUGAAGCCAGAGGAAACUCUGGUGGAAGUCCGAAGCGA
rnacentral:rRNA from 1 species